GCGGCGGCGGGAAUUCGAUUCAGGCGUAACACAUGCAAGUCGAACGAGAUUAUUCCGGUCUUCGGACUGGAAUAUGACAGUGGCGCACGGGUGCGUAACGCGUAUGCAACCUACCUUUAUCAGGGGGAUAGCCUCUCGAAAGAGAGAUUAAUACCGCAUAAAAACACAGUACGGCAUGGUACAAUGUUCAAACAUUUAUGGGAUAAAGAUGGCGAUGCGUGACAUUAGCUAGUUGGUGAGGUAACGGCUCACCAAGGCAACGAUGUCUAGGGGAUCUGAGAGGAUGACCCCCCACACUGGUACUGAGACACGGACCAGACUCCUACGGGAGGCAGCAGUAAGGAAUAUUGGUCAAUGGACGCAAGUCUGAAACGGCCAUGCCGCGUGCAGGAAGACGGCCCUAUGGGUUAAAAGUGCUUUUAUACGGGAAUAAACCUUUUUCGGAAAGAAGC
rnacentral:rRNA from 1 species